CAAAGAAUAGUUUAAUAAAAAUAAUAAUUUUGGAGAUUAUUGAUAAAUAUUGUAGUAUUUUUCUUUGA
rnacentral:tRNA from 1 species